GACAGAGGUGCCAAGCGUUAGGCGGAAUCACUGGGCUUAAAGCGUGUGUAGGCGGAUUUGUAAGUACCUUGUGAAAUCCCAUGGCUCAACCAUGGAACUGCUCGGUAUACUGCGAAUCUUGAGCCACUUAGGGGCGACCGGAACAAAUGGUGGAGCGGUGAAAAUGCGUAGAUAUCAUUUGGAACGCCAAUGGUGAAAAACAGGUCGCUGGGAGUGUGCUGACGUGAGACACGAAAGCCAGGGGAGCGAACGGG
rnacentral:rRNA from 1 species